AAGGAUUUAAGUUAAAAAAACUAUUAACCUUCAAAGUUAAAAAUAGAAUUAUUCUAAGCCUUA
rnacentral:tRNA from 2 species